GUAGGUGGCAAGCGUUGUCCGGAAUUAUUGGGCGUAAAGCGCGCGCAGGCGGUUCUUUAAGUCUGAUGUGAAAGCCCACGGGCUCAACCGUGGAGGGUCAUUGGAAACUGGAGAACUUGAGUACAGAAGAGGAAAACGGAAUUCCACGUGUAGCGGUGAAAUGCGUAGAGAUGUGGAGGAACACCAGUGGCGAAGGCGGCUUUCUGGUCUGUAACUGACGCUGAGGCGCGAAAGCGUGGGGAGCAAACAGGAUUAGAUACCCUGGUAGUCCACGCCGUAAACGAUGAGUGCUAAGUGUUAGGGGGUUUCCGCCCCUUAGUGCUGCAGCUAACGCAUUAAGCACUCCGCCUGGGGAGUACGGCCGCAAAGGCUG
rnacentral:rRNA from 1 species